GUGAUCCACCCGCCUCGGCCUCCCAAAGUGCUGGGAUUACAGGCUUGAGCCACCGCGCCCGGCCUGUUGGUGGUCUUAAUGCUUUUAUAUAUUUGGGGAUUUUUGAGUCCCCCCACCACCACACACACAGACACCUGGAAGGGACCAUCUGGAAGGUGAUAGGUGUGGGGAUAUGACUCCUUCUGGAGCCCUCUAGACUGGCACAUUGAUUGAAGUGGCAUAGUUCUCUACCCUGGGCAGAUCUGUGGAGGGGGGCUCAUCCUGGCUUAACCCCCAAAGACACCCCAGUUGGCUCCCUAAUGGAGGGCAAGCGAUUUAACAUCUUUGUGCUGAAGAGGAAAUGGUGGAGUGAGAACUGGCUCAACCCCUGAGGCAGUAGUAGGAGUCUCAGACCUGGAAAUUUUUUUUUUUUUAAGUAAAGAUUUCAGGAAUCAAUGGAAGUUUCUUAAACCUGACUGAAGGGUCCAGCCUCAGCUACAAUGACAAGGCCAUGGGGCAGGGGAGUGGAGAGGAACCCCAUAGAUCACAGGCAUACUUCCUCCUGUGUCCCCAUAUGGGCCUGCCUUAGACAUUCUGUGGAGCGAUGCAUUUUGCAUCCCUGAGCUGGAUUUGCACCCAUGUCAGUGAAAUAAGUGGAAAUGAGUUCUUGCGGAUGUAGCUGUGGGGAGGACGACCACAGUUAUUGUCAAUCUCCCCAAGUAGAAUGUCAGCUCCAGAAGGACCUGGAUUUUAAUCCAUCUUGUUCACUGUCCUGUCUCUGUUCCUUGACCAGGACCUGACUCAUAGCAGACUGUCAAUAUUUGCUAAAUGAAUGAAUGACACAGAUGUGCUCCAUUACUGCCUCUUGGGUCAAUAUUGCCAAGCCUGUCCCCUCUAUUUGCUGGUGAUCUCAGAGGGACCAAAGCCUCCUCUCUGGUUGAUGCGAGUCUCGGCCUGGCCUUUGAAACAGGACAAAUCUGGUUUGCAUCCUGACUUUUCCCUGAAUCUGGAGUCUCUCCCAGAAUCUGCAGCUUCCCCCACCCCAUCGGUGUCUGUUCCCCUCUUCUAGUAGCAACAACUUGAUAUUCUCUGGAGACCCACCCUUCUGCCAUUUUCAGUCCACAUGGUUAGGGCGGGGCUGACUGCAGCCCCCAGCAAAGGUGGGGCAUGUGACUGAAGCCAGAGAAGCAGCCUUGGGACUUUGGUUGGAACUACAAAGGAACAGUGACUCUCCUAUUGGCUGCUAAAUUGGUGGUGUGUCUGUGUCACAGUGGAGGGAGGCUUAGCAUGACUGACUCCAUUUUGCGUCUGAUGGCCUGUAGUAAUAUCCUUUAGGUAAAAAGCUUCUGCUUAGCUUUGGGUGUAGACCAGCUAAUUAUAGAAGGAAUUUAUAGUUCAUCUUUAGAAAAAAAUAACAGUUCCUUUCCCAAAACUAACCACCCCACCAGGAGAUCAGGAAACUGUACACACAAGUAACAAUGUUAUAAUAAAGAUAUACAAGA